rnacentral:rRNA from 1 species
AAUCAAGUGGAGGACAAGUCUGGUGCCAGCACCCGCGGUAAUUCCAGCUCCACUAGCGUAUAUUAAAGUUGUUGCAGUUAAAAAGCUCGUAGUUGAACCUCUGUCUGGGGCUAGUUUUGGCUUUGGUCAGGCUAGUUCUAGGCAUCCGCCUACAAGACUUAGAGGGCAUUCAGUUGUUCACUAGGAGGAGUAGGCAUUUUACUUUGAAAAAAUUAGAGUGUUUAAGGCAGGCAAUCGCCCGCAUAUAUUAGCGUGGAAUAAUAGAAUAGGACACUUUUCCAUUUCGUUGGUUAUUGGAAUCGUGUAAUGAUUAAUAGGGACAGUUGUGGGCAUUUGUAUUUAAUUGUCAGAGGUGAAAUUCUUGGAUUUAUUAAAGACAAACUAACGCGAAAGCAUUUGCCAAGGAUGUUUUCAUUAAUCAAGAACGAAAGUUAGGGGAUCAAAGACGAUCAGAUACCGUCCUAGUCUUAACUAUAAACUAUUCCGUCUCAAUGUUUGACUGGCUUAUAUAACCAGUUGAGCGUUGUAUGAGAAAUCAAAGUCUUUAGGUUCUGGGGGGAGUAUGGUUGCAAAGCUGAAACUUAAAGGAAUUGACGGAAGAGCACAACCAGGAGUGGAUUCUGCGGCUUAAUUUGACUCAACACGGGGAAACUUACCAGGUUAAAACAAUAGUGGGAUUGACAGUUUGAGAGCGCUUUCUUGAUUGGUUGGGUGGUGGUGCAUGGCCGUUCUUAGUUGGUGGAGUGAUUUGUCUGCUUAAUUGCGUUAACGAACGAGACCUUAACCUGCUUACUAGACUGGCGAUCAUCAAUCGUUAGCUCUUCUUAGAGGGACUUCGGUUGUUUUAACUCCAAGGAAGUUUGAGGCAAUAACAGGUCUGUGAUGCCCUUAGAUAUCCUGGGCCGCACGCGUCAUACAAUGACUAGUUCAGAAAGUUUUCUCCUGACCCGAAAGGGGAUGGGUAAUCUUGAUAAUACUAGUCGUGUUAGGGAUCGAUCUUUGCAAUUAUAGAUCUUGAACGAGGAAUUCCUAGUAAGUGCGGUUCAUCAGACCGUACUGAUUACGUCCCUGCUCUUUGUACACACCGCCCGUCGCUUCUACCGAGUGGGUGGUCCGGUGAGAUAAUUGAACUUCGCAGGUAACUGAGAGGAAAGAUUAUCAAACCUAUCCACCU